UGGGUGAUAAAACGUUCGUUCUUACCGGUAAGGAUUAUAUCAUUCGGCAUCCAGAUGAUAAAAGUACAUGUGUAACCGUCUUCUGGAAACACGAGUCAGCAUAUGACGAUUAUGUAAAAUGGGUUCUGGGGAUGCCAUUUAUUGGCCGUUACUACACUGAGUUUGAUGUGGAUAGAGGCCGAGUGGGAUUUGCUUUGGCGAAAAAUGUAUAAAAUUUAUCAAAAUGUAUAGAAAAUCUUUCAUUGUCACCUUUUAUUGUGUACUUAUCAUCAUUUUUUUAAAUUAUUUGUUUAAUUUUCGAUAAGAAAACAUUUAAUUUUUAAUCGCCAACCGACAAAGUUCGCAGAUUAUCAAUGUGAAUUUUUGCGUAAUGCCUACAUAACUGCGACUUAAUUUUCUACAGCAAUACUUUAUCGUGAAUGCAACUGAUAUGUGCUUAUGGUUAUUUGGAAUUUUUGCGAGUAAUUGCAUUCGCUAAGGUCAUUGUUGUAUGGCCAUCUAAUAAUCGAUAUAAUGAAUCUAUACUUCCGGAAAGCUGAUUACUCCUUCAUUAUCAAUCUUAAUUUAGCGCACACUUAAUAAUUUAUUUUAAAACAAUUUGUUUUAAUUAUAACACAAAAUAUUAAAUAAAAUAUUUUUAAAUUUGAUUGAUCAAUAGGACGGAUGAUCAAUAAGAAAAGUUAUGUUUCGAAUGCGAGCGAUUGUAUAUAUAACGGCCGCUAAAUGUCGAUGUAAAUGAUAGCUCUAGUAGACGAGUACAAUUUCUUUUUGUAUGUCGUAACGUACAGAAAGAAAUUUACUGGAAAUUUCGAAAACAUGUUCCUCUUUCUCGUGAUGCUGACCGAAAUCCAAAACUAAGUUUAUACAUUGUAUUGUAAGUUUAAGUUACAUAUCAGUAUAAUAAAUAUUGAAUUUAAGAAUUGA